rnacentral:rRNA from 1 species
GACGAACGCUGGCGGCGUGCUUAACACAUGCAAGUCGAGCGGUAAGGCCCUUUCGGGGGUACACGAGCGGCGAACGGGCGAGUAACACGUGGGUGACCUGCCCUCAGCUCUGGGAUAAGCCUGGGAAACCGGGUCUAAUACCGGAUAUGACUCCAUGACGCAUGUUGUGGGGUGGAAAGCCUUGUGCGGCUGAGGAUGGGCCCGCGGCCUAUCAGCUUGUUGGUGGGGUGAUGGCCUACCAAGGCGACGACGGGUAGCCGGCCUGAGAGGGCGACCGGCCACACUGGGACUGAGACACGGCCCAGACUCCUACGGGAGGCAGCAGUGGGGAAUCUUGCGCAAUGGGCGAAAGCCUGACGCAGCGACGCCGCGUGAGGGAUGACGGCCU